rnacentral:sRNA from 1 species
GGACGGGGUGGGAGAUGCUUGCGACAGCUGCCCUGAAAUGAGCAAUCCUACCCAGAUGCAGACAGCGACCUGGUGGGGGAUGUCUGUGAUACUAAUGAAGACAGCGAUGGGGAUGGGCAUCAGGACACCAAGGACAACUGCCCACAGCUGCCAAAUAGCUCCCAGCUGGACUCUGAUAACGAUGGACUUGGAGAUGAGUGUGAUGGGGAUGAUGACAAUGAUGGCAUCCCAGAUUAUGUGCCUCCUGGUCCUGAUAACUGCCGCCUGGUACCCAAUCCCAAUCAGAAGGACUCAGAUGUGGCCAGGGCCUUCCUGAGCACCCAGCCUCACUCUGCCCAGGCAAUGGCGUUGGUGAUGUGUGUGAGGAUGACUUUGACAAUGAUGCGGUGGUCGACCCCCUGGAUGUGUGUCCUGAAAGUGCAGAGGUAACGCUUACGGAUUUUCGGGCCUAUCAGACCGUCGUCCUGGAUCCUGAGGGUGAUGCUCAGA